rnacentral:rRNA from 1 species
UGGGGAAUAUUGGACAAUGGGCGCAAGCCUGAUCCAGCCAUGCCGCGUGAGUGAUGAAGGCCUUAGGGUUGUAAAGCUCUUUCGCCGGUGAAGAUAAUGACGGUAACCGGAGAAGAAGCCCCGGCUAACUUCGUGCCAGCAGCCGCGGUAAUACGAAGGGGGCUAGCGUUGCUCGGAAUUACUGGGCGUAAAGCGCACGUAGGCGGUUUCUUAAGUCGGGGGUGAAAUCCUGGAGCUCAACUCCAGAACUGCCUUCGAUACUGGGAAACUUGAGUUCGGGAGAGGUGAGUGGAACUGCGAGUGUAGAGGUGAAAUUCGUAGAUAUUCGCAAGAACACCAGUGGCGAAGGCGGCUCACUGGCCCGAUACUGACGCUGAGGUGCGAAAGCGUGG